rnacentral:lncRNA from 15 species
CAAAAACUGUAAGUUGAACUAAUUUACAGGGUUCUACAAGAACUAUUUAUAGGACCUUUAUUAAAUAAAAAAUGCUGUAUUUAUAAGGACAGAUAUUAUAUUUUAGUGUGAUGAUACUCUUACUUACCAACAAUGAUGUUGUACCAACCUUGGCUCUAUCAUCACAUGAACACAGCAUACAGUAAGAAUUGGAAUCUGUGUACUGAUUGGCUCAUAAAAAACCAGACUCCAGUUAAAAGCUUAAAGGGGUAUUCCAGUGAUCUGGUUUUGUACUUCCAUAAAGUUUAGCUACUUGCAAGAAAUAGAUUAAAUGGAUAGAAUCCAUGCAGCAGAGGACCUAGUGUACCUAUAGAAGCUAUGGAUACUACACUUUCACUCCUCCUUGAUAGUGUCUUCCAUUAGAGCCUCCCUACCUGGUCAAUUUCAACCUCUUUCAAACUUCAUGUCCCCAGUUUGAGACACAGGUUUUCUGAAAAAACUCUAGUCCAGCUCCUCAAAAUUUACAAGUGGAAAUCAUCCACAGCAGUGGAGUGGUACAGUUUGGCUUCUUUCACAGCUGAUUAGCCACUCCCUGUCUUCAAGUGGUGAUAAAUCAUAGACAGCUCAUUGAGAUGGGUUUGGAUUCAGUAUUUGUUGUCUUUUGCUCUGCUGACUUUCACUGAUGUUCGCUCGUUUAAUGAUCUUGUUUUAUGGGGUACAGUGAACAUCAACACAUCCAAUUUGCUCGUCGUUGACACUGUUUUGAUUUUAAUCGUUGAUGAAAGCAGCAAUAAAUUUUGUCCUAGCUCUUGUUCAUGAAGUUUUGUUGUUAUUUAUUGUCUUGUUUUCGUCAGGGUAAAGAGACUGAGAGAUUUUUGUCACAGUUUCAGACAGUGGAUCAAGCACCACUGGCUAAAAAGGGAGCAUUGAAUAUAGAUAUAAUAAACCUGUCCUAGGGUGGUGAUUAAUCCCUUUAAAAAAUCCUACAUUAUGGGUCAUAUCACCUUUGAGGCCUACAGGACCCUGCAUUCCAGGGGGUCCUGGGUAACCGGGAGAGCCACUCCUGCCAGGGUAGCCCGGAGUCCCCAUGGAGCCUUUGGGUCCUGGUGCUCCUGGCUCGCCUGGGGGUCCCUUCACGCUCUGGCAGUGUUCACACCUAGCUGGGGGAGCCAGGCUCUGGAGCAGUGCUGGAAGUUGAUCUGCAGGGCACAGCCAGAAGCCCAUGACCCCAAAAUUGAUCGGGGUCGACCAUCAUGGAGGA